rnacentral:rRNA from 1 species
AGAGUUUGAUCCUGGCUCAGAUUGAACGCUGGCGGCAUGCUUUACACAUGCAAGUCGAGCGGCAGCGCGGGGCAACCUGGCGGCGAGCGGCGAACGGGUGAGUAAUAGAUAGGAACGUGUCCGAGAGUGGGGGAUAACUAGCCGAAAGGUUAGCUAAUACCGCAUAUUCUCUGCGGAGGAAAGCGGGGGACCAGUAAUGGCCUCGCGCUCACGGAGUGGCCUAUCUCCGAUUAGCUAGUUGGUGAGGUAAAGGCUUACCAAGGCGACGAUCGGUAGCUGGUCUGAGAGGAUGAUCAGCCACACUGGGACUGAGACACGGCCCAGACUCCUACGGGAGGCAGCAGUGGGGAAUUUUGGACAAUGGGGGCAACCCUGAUCCAGCCAUGCCGCGUGCGGGAAGAAGGCCUUCGGGUUGUAAACCGCUUUUAUUCGGAAAGAAGGAGUGCGGGUUAAUACCUCGCAUGACAGACGGUACCGGAUGAAUAAGCACCGGCUAACUACGUGCCAGCAGCCGCGGUAAUACGUAGGGUGCGAGCGUUA